UGGUGGAGUGAUUUGUCUGGUUAAUUCCGUUAACGAACGAGACCUCGACCUGCUAACUAGUUUGUGUUACAUUUACGUGUAAUAUUUUAAUUAACUUCUUAGAGGGACUAUCUGAUACAAAGUGGAUGGAAGUUCGAGGCAAUAACA
rnacentral:rRNA from 1 species